rnacentral:rRNA from 1 species
UACAGAGGGAGCGAGCGUUAUCCGGAAUGAUUGGGCGUAAAGCGUCUGUAGGUGGUUUAGAAAGUCUACUGUCAAAUACCAAGGCUCAACCUUGGGCAGGCAGUAGAGUACUUUUAGACUAGAGUGUGGUAGAGGUAGAGGGAAUCCCUAGCGUAACAGUGAAAUGUGUAGAUUCUAGGGAGAACACCAGCGGCGAAGGCGCUCUACUGGGCCAAGACUGACACUGAGAGACGAAAGCUAGGGGAGCGAAUAGG